rnacentral:rRNA from 1 species
UGGGGGACAACCUCGGGAAACCGGGGCUAAUACCGCAUAAGCUUAGUGACAUUGAAAAAACUAAGGAAAGGGGGCUUCGGCUCUCGCUAAGAGAUCGGUCUGCGUGACAUUAGCUUGUUGGUGGGGUAAUGGCCUACCAAGGCGACGAUGUCUAGCUGGUCUGAGAGGAUGAUCAGUCACACUGGAACUGAGACACGGUCCAGACUCCUACGGGAGGCAGCAGUAGGGAAUAUUGCGCAAUGGGGGAAACCCUGACGCAGCAAUGCCACGUGAGUGAGGAAUGCCUUCGGGUUGUAAAGCUCUGUCCUAUAAGAAGAACGGCUUAACGGUUAAUACCCGUUUUGUUUGACGGUACUAUAGAAGAAAGCACCGGCUAACUCCGUGCCAGCAGCCGCGGUAAUACGGAGGGUGCAAGCGUUGUUCGGAUUUACUGGGCGUAAAGCGCGCGCAGGCGGACUAGCAAGUCAGAUGUGAAAUCCCAGGGCUCAACCCUGGAACUGCGUCUGAAACUGUUAGUCUAGAGUCUCAUAGGGGGUAGGGGAAUUUCACGUGUAGGGGUAAAAUCCGUAGAGAUGUGAAGGAACACCGGUGGCGAAGGCGCCUACCUGGAUGAGUACUGACGCUGAGGCGCGAAAGCGUGGGGAGCAAACAGGAUUAGAUACCCUGGUAGUCCACGCCGUAAACGAUGAGUACUAGUUAUUAGAGGUAUUGACUCCUUUAGUGACGCAGCUAACGCAUUAAGUACUCCGCCUGGGAAGUACGGUCGCAAGACUAAAACUCAAAGGAAUUGACGGGGGCCCGCACAAGCGGUGGAUUAUGUGGUUUAAUUCGAAGCAACGCGCAGAACCUUACCAAGGCUUGAAAUCCUAGGAAUCCGAUGUAAUGGUCGGAGUGCUCGCAAGAGAAUCUAGUGACAGGUGCUGCAUGGCUGUCGUCAGCUCGUGUUGUGAAAUGUCGGGUUAAGUCUCGCAACGAGCGCAACCCCUAUCUUUAGUUGCCAGCAUUAAGUUGGGCACUCUAGAGAGACUGCCCGGGUUAACCGGGAGGAAGGUGGGGAUGACGUCAAGUCCUCAUGGCCCUUAUGCCUUGGGCUACACACGUAAUACAAUGGUACAUACAGAGGGAAGCGACCCGGUGACGGCAAGCAAAUCUCAAAAAGUGUAUCUCAGUCCGGAUUGGAGUCUGCAACUCGACUCCAUGAAGUUGGAAUCGCUAGUAAUCGCGGAUCAGCACGCCGCGGUGAAUACGUUCCCGGGCCUUGU